rnacentral:rRNA from 1 species
GACGUAGGGCGCGGAGCGUUGUCCGGAUUUAUUGGCGUAAAGAGCUCGUAGGCGGCUUGUCGGCGUUCGUGGUGUGGAAAUACUCCAGGGCUCAACUCUGACAUUGCAUACGAUACGGGGCAGGCUUGAGUUCGGUAGGGGAGACUGGAAUUCCUGGUGUAGCGGUGAAAUGCGCAGAUAAUCAGGAGGAACACCGGUGGGCGAAAGGCGGGGUCGUCUGGGGCCGGAUACUGACGUGAGGAGCGAAAGCGUGGGGAGCGAAACAGG